rnacentral:rRNA from 1 species
GUAUUUUGACCGUGCAAAGGUAGCGCAAUCACUUGUCUUUUAAAUGAAGACCUGUAUGAAUGGUGGAACGAGGGCUUAACUGUCUCCCCCUUCUAGUCAAUGAAAUUGAUCUACCCGUGCAGAAGCGGGUAUAAUAAUACAAGACGAGAAGACCCUUUGGAGCUUAAGACAAAAGACCAACUAUGUCAAAAGUCCUAAAAAAGACUAAACCAAAUAGUUCUGGUCCUAAUCUUCGGUUGGGGUGACCACGGGAGAAAACAAAGCUCCCAUGCGGACUGGGACAUUUCCUAAAACUAAGAGAGACAUCUCUAAGACACAGAACAUCUGACCAUAAAGAUCCGGCUACAUGCCGACCAACGGACCAAGUUACCCUAGGGAUAACAGCGCAAUCCCCUUCCAGAGUCCAUAUCGACAAGGGGGUUUACGACCUCGAUGUUGGAUCAGGACAUCCU